UAAUAAAUAGUAUAACUGGAAGUACGGGGAGUUUUGGGCUCCCUGGUGCGGGCCCGCGUCCCGUUUUAUUAG
rnacentral:tRNA from 1 species